CGUCAAGUCAUCAUGCCCCUUAUAUCCAGGGCUGCAAACAUGCUACAAUGGCCGGUACAAAGGGCUGCGAAACCGCGAGGUCAAGCGAAUCCCAUAAAGCCGGUCUCAGUUCGGAUUGAAGUCUGCAACUCGACUUCAUGAAGCUGGAGUCGCUAGUAAUCCCAGAUCAGCAUUGCUGGGUGAAUACGUUCCCGGGCCUU
rnacentral:rRNA from 1 species